CAUGCCUUGCCAGAGAAGGUAAUCUUUCUCUAAAGAAGUUUGACGGAAUAGGGUUAAAUGAAUGUAUAAAUUCAUAGCUAUCCUGGAAGAAAAACAGUUAAUAAUUGCUCAAGCCAUUUGUGACAUAAAUGACUUGGACACAGACACCUAAAAGUGAUUUUUAACCUACAAAAGAAUGGCUUGGCAAGAGAGAUACACAUAAAGCUUUGUAAAGAGGACCAUGAUGAAGGUGUAUGUGAAUGUCAUCUGAUAGGACAAGACUUUCUAUCCUCAAGCAGAGCUGGGGAGGAGUUCAACAAAGUCUCUGGAACUGAUACAUAGAAACAUGGUCACAUUUCCCAUAAAGUAUAUGCUUAAUUCGUUCAUAGCCUUAUGCUAAUCAUAUACAUGGCUUUACCAAACACUCAGGUAUAUGUGGUCACAUUUAUACCAAAUGAUUGUGGGCAUAAUAAGUUUGUACUAACAUUUAUUGAUGGAUACUGUAGCUAUUUUGUGACCCUAUGAGAAUGGAUGUAAGUGUUACAAAAUCCUGAAUAAAAAGAUGGGGAAAGUGACAGUGAAGUAUUGUUCAUGUCAGAGAAGGAGAGCAAGCCAAAUGGCAUAACCCUUGCCUGAAAUCCACAGAGAGAGACACAGAUACAGACAGAAGACCUGCUUGGGCUUUGGCCUGUCUAUAUAACCACUACACAGGUAGAGGCUGUAGCAGGAGACCUUCAUGCUAGGCAAAGAGAAUACACAGAAGAAAGGGAGCACUAAGCAAGGAGGAACAGGGUAGUCAUGUGAUGCUGAACUGCAAAUGGAAUACCAGUGCCAGCUACCAGACACUGAUCUGGAGAGAAAACAAGUGCCAGCUCCACGUCUGUUCGACUUUGCAAAGUCAGCAUCAACAGCGAACCAUCUUCAUUGACUGCACUUGACAAACUUAUUUCUACAGAAUCUGCCAAGUGGAAAGAAGUAGCUAACAUGGAAAUUGAAGCAUGCAUACAAAUAUUAUGUGGAUUCUCAAAAAUUACCUCAAAUUAAAAAUGGUAUAGUGGCAUAGGCAGGGCCGCCAUCAGGGGGUGACAGGGGUGACUCCUGUCAGGGGCCUAAUGGGCCAGGGGGGCCCCCUACAUUUUGGCAGCCACCACCAGUGGGUACUACAGCAGAGUGCUAAUUGAGCAUGGGAAUUGUUAUUACAAGGAGUAAAGUAUUAGCAUUUGAGAGGAUUUCUGAGUGUGCACUAAACCACUAUGCACAUACACAUUGUCUGUUCCUUUUUAGGACAUUUUGACCUUACUACUGAUUAUUCACAUCUUUCUACAGACUUUGAGACUAACGAGACCUUUCCGGAAGUCACCAAUCCACCAUUUAACCUUUAAAUUAUUGUUUAGGCAGUUCAGGGCCCUUCCUUUCAGCCACUGCAUGCUGUUGUCCUCAUUUAGUUGGCAUCUUCCUUUACAAAAAGAUAAUCAGAAUUCCAUA